AGUGAACGCUGGCGGCAGGCCUAAUACAUGCAAGUCGAACGGCAGCACAGUGGAGCUUGCUCCAUGGUGGCGAGUGGCGGACGGGUGAGGAAUACAUGGGAAUCUGCCCAGUCGUGGGGGAUAACGUAUGGAAACGUACGCUAAUACCGCAUGCGCCCUUCGGGGAAAGUCGAGGACCGCAAGGCCUGACGCGAUUGGAUGAGCCCAUGUUCGAUUAGCUAGUUGGCGGGGUAACGGCCCACCAAGGCGACGAUCGAUAGCUGGUCUGAGAGGAUGAUCAGCCACACUGGAACUGAGACACGGUCCAGACUCCUACGGGAGGCAGCAGUAGGGAAUAUUGGACAAUGGGCGCAAGCCUGAUCCAGCCAUGCCGCGUGAGUGAAGAAGGCCUCGGGUGUAAAGCUCUUUGUUGGGAAGAAAGCAGUU
rnacentral:rRNA from 1 species